GGCUAGAGGUUAUGGCCUACGAUUCCCAACACAGUCAGAAGUAUGAGGCCUCUAAAGCACAUCAAAGCAUUUUGGUCUUCCAAACACAAGUCUUGCUGAAGUCCAGAACUUUUGUUUUUCAUUGGAAUCAGGAUUCCACUUCUUCACUUUCCACCUGAUGUAGCAAGGACGACC